AGUCUGUCAGAGAAGAGAGGAAAGAUGAGGCUCUCACACAAACAGAGUGUAAGAUCAGACUCACAUGUGUCCAGCUCUGUGUCUGUGAAGAGUGACCAGUCAAAGGAUGAACCACCAUACUUCAGUGAAGAAACAAUGUCACGAACCAAACGGCUUCAGUAUGAAACAUUAGAUCCAGAUUUACAGUCUCACAGGAACCACCAGAAUUUUACAG